rnacentral:tRNA from 1 species
UAUAGCUUAGUUUAACGUGUUAAAAUAUUGGUUUUCGGGGCCAAGGAUCUUUAUUGAGAGUUGUAG